ACCAACAGGGAUUGCCCCAGUAACGGCGAGUGAAGCGGCAACAGCUCAAAUUUGAAAUCUGGCCCCCGGGUCCGAGUUGUAAUUUGCAGAGGAUGCUUUGGGCGAGGUGCCUUCCGAGUUCCCUGGAACGGGACGCCACAGAGGGUGAGAGCCCCGUCUGGUCGGACACCGAGCCCGUGUAAAGCUCCUUCGACGAGUCGAGUAGUUUGGGAAUGCUGCUCAAAAUGGGAGGUAUAUGUCUUCUAAAGCUAAAUAUUGGCCAGAGACCGAUAGCGCACAAGUAGAGUGAUCGAAAGAUGAAAAGCACUUUGAAAAGAGGGUUAAAAAGUACGUGAAAUUGUUGAAAGGGAAGCGCCUAUGACCAGACUUGGGCCCGGUGAAUCAUCCAGCGUUCUCGCUGGUGCACUUUGCCGGGCACAGGCCAGCAUCAGUUUGGCGCGGGGGACAAAGGCUUCGGGAAUGUGGCUCCCUCGGGAGUGUUAUAGCCCGCUGCGUAAUACCCUGCGCCGGACUGAGGUACGCGCAUCGCAAGGAUGCUGGCGUAAUGGUCAUCAGCGACCCGUCUUGAAACACGGACCAAGGAGUCGUCUUCGUAUGCGAGUGUUCGGGUGUCAAACCCCUACGCGGAAUGAAAGUGAACGCAGGUGAGAGCUUCGGCGCAUCAUCGACCGAUCCUGAUGUUCUCGGAUGGAUUUGAGUAAGAGCAUACGGGGCCGGACCCGAAAGAAGGUGAACUAUGCCUGUAUAGGGUGAAGCCAGAGGAAACUCUGGUGGAGGCUCGCAGCGGUUCUGACGUGCGAAUCGAUCGUCAAAUAUGGGCAUGGGGGCGAAAGACUAAUCGAACCUU
rnacentral:rRNA from 2 species